AGCAGGACAGACGGUCGCUGCCGGCAGGCCGAAAGGCGCCGGGAGAGGAAAGUCCGGGCUUCACACGGCAGGAUGCCGGAUAACGUCCGGUGGAGGUGACUCCCAGGCUAGUGCAACAGAAAUGUACCGCCGGGACUUUUCCCGGUAAGGUUGGAAGGGCGGUGUAAGAGACCACCGCGCAUCUGGCAACAGGUGCGGCACAUGUAAACCCCAUCCGAAGCAAGGCCGAACAGGGGCGCGGAGAAAUCCACACGCUGCCCGCCAGUCCCAGGUAGGCCGCUUGAGCCGUCUGGCAACAGACGGCCUAGAUAGAUGAUCGUCCAAGACAUAACCCGGCUUAUCGUCCUGCUCA
rnacentral:RNase_P_RNA from 1 species